GAUGAACGCUAGCUACAGGCUUAACACAUGCAAGUCGCGGGGCAGCAUGGGGGUUGCUUGCAAUCCCCGAUGGCGACCGGCGCACGGGUGAGUAACGCGUAUUCAACCUGCCCUUCACCACGGGAUAACCCGGCGAAAGUCGGACUAAUACCGUAUGUUUUCCAUUGACGGCAUCCGAUUUGGACGAAAGGCUUGGCGGUGAGGGAUGGGGAUGCGUCCGAUUAGCCAGACGGCGGGGUAACGGCCCACCGUGGCUACGAUCGGUAGGGGUUCUGAGAGGAAGGUCCCCCACACUGGAACUGAGACACGGUCCAGACUCCUACGGGAGGCAGCAGUGAGGAAUAUUGGUCAAUGGGCGUAAGCCUGAACCAGCCAAGUAGCGUGCAGGAUGACGGCCCUAUGGGUUGUAAACUGCUUUUAUGCGGGGAUAAAGUGGCCCACGUGUGGGCUUUUGCAGGUACCGCAUGAAUAAGGACCGGCUAAUUCCGUG
rnacentral:rRNA from 1 species